GGUUAAGUUAUGAAGGGCGCACGGUGAAUGCCUUGGCACUAGGAGCCGAUGAAGGACGGUACUAACACCGAUAUGCUUCGGGGAGCUGUAAGUAAGCUUUGAUCCGGAGAUUUCCGAAUGGGGAAACCCCCUAUCCGUAAUGGGGUAGGAUCUUUACCUGAAUACAUAGGGUAUUGAAGGCAGACCCGGGGAACUGAAACAUCUAAGUACCCGGAGGAAGAGAAAGCAAACGCGAUUCCCUUAGUAGCGGCGAGCGAAACGGGAUUAGCCCAAACCAAGAGGCUUGCCUCUUGGGGUUGUAGGACACUCUACACGGAGUUACAAAGGAACGAAGUAAACGAAGUGGUCUGGAAAGGCCCGCCAUAGAAGGUAAAAGCCCUGUAAUUGAAACUUCGUUCCCUCCAGAGUGGAUCCUGAGUACGGCGGGACACGAGAAAUCCCGUCGGAAGCAGGGAGGACCAUCUCCCAAGGCUAAAUACUCCCUAGUGACCGAUAGUGAACCAGUACCGUGAGGGAAAGGUGAAAAGCACCCCGGAAGGGGAGUGAAACAGAUCCUGAAACCGUGUGCCUACAAGUAGUUAGAGCCCGUUAAUGGGUGAUAGCGUGCCUUUUGUAGAAUGAACCGGCGAGUUACGAUUACAUGCGAGGUUAAGUUGGACAGACGGAGCCGCAGCGAAAGCGAGUCUGAAUAGGGCGAAUGAGUAUGUGGUCGUAGACCCGAAACCAGGUGAUCUACCCAUGUCCAGGGUGAAGUCCAGGUAACACUGGAUGGAGGCCCGAACCCACGCACGUUGAAAAGUGCGGGGAUGAGGUGUGGGUAGCGGAGAAAUUCCAAUCGAACCUGGAGAUAGCUGGUUCUCUCCGAAAUAGCUUUAGGGCUAGCCUCAUGCGUGAGAGUCUUGGAGGUAGAGCACUGUUUGGACUAGGGGCCCUCAUCGGGUUACCGAAUUCAGACAAACUCCGAAUGCCAAAGACUUAUCCAUGGGAGUCAGACUGCGAGUGAUAAGAUCCGUAGUCAAGAGGGAAACAGCCCAGACCACCAGCUAAGGUCCCAAAGUAUACGUUAAGUGGAAAAGGAUGUGGAGUUGCUUAGACAACCAGGAUGUUGGCUUAGAAGCAGCCACCAUUUAAAGAGUGCGUAAUAGCUCACUGGUCGAGUGACUCCGCGCCGAAAAUGUACCGGGGCUAAACGUAUCACCGAAGCUGUGGAUUGACAUCUUAGAUGUCAGUGGUAGGAGAGCGUUCUAAGGGCGUUGAAGCUAGACCGUAAGGACUGGUGGAGCGCUUAGAAGUGAGAAUGCCGGUAUGAGUAGCGAAAGAUGGGUGAGAAUCCCAUCCACCGAAUGCCUAAGGUUUCCUGAGGAAGGCUCGUCCGCUCAGGGUUAGUCGGGACCUAAGCCGAGGCUGAAAAGCGUAGGCGAUGGACAACAGGUUGAUAUUCCUGUACCACCUUAUUUCCGUUUGAGCAAUGGGGGGACGCAGGAGGAUAGGGUAAGCGCACUGUUGGAUAUGUGCGUCUAAGCAGUUAGGCUGGUAAUGAGGCAAAUCCCAUUACCGUGAAGGCUGAGCUGUGAUAGCGAGGGAAAUUUAGUACCGAAGUUCCUGAUUCCACACUGCCAAGAAAAGCCUCUAGCGAGGAGAUGGGUGCCCGUACCGCAAACCGACACAGGUAGGCGAGGAGAGAAUCCUAAGGUGAGCGAGAGAACUCUCGUUAAGGAACUCGGCAAAAUGACCCCGUAACUUCGGGAGAAGGGGUGCUCAUUAGGGUGAAUAGCCUUGAUGAGCCGCAGUGAAUAGGCCCAGGCGACUGUUUAGCAAAAACACAGGUCUCUGCGAAGCCGCAAGGCGAAGUAUAGGGGCUGACGCCUGCCCGGUGCUGGAAGGUUAAGAGGAGGGGUUAGCUUA
rnacentral:rRNA from 1 species